rnacentral:rRNA from 1 species
GACGAACGCUGGCGGCGUGCUUAACACAUGCAAGUCGAACGGAAAGGCCUCUUUCGGGGGGUACUCGAGUGGCGAACGGGUGAGUAACACGUGAGUAGCCUGCCCUUGACUUUGGGAUAACUUCAGGAAACUGGGGCUAAUACCGGAUAGGAGCUCCUGCUGCAUGGUGGGGGUUGGAAAGUUUCGGCGGUUGGGGUUGGACUCGCGGCUUAUCAGCUUGUUGGUGGGGUAGUGGCUUACCAAGGCUUUGACGGGUAGCCGGCCUGAGAAGGUGACCGGCGACAUUGGGACUGAGAGACGGCCCAGCCUCCUACGGGAGGGAGCAGUGGGGAAUGUUGCACAAUGGGUGGGAGCCUGAUGCAGCAACGCCGUGUGCGGGAUGACGGCCUUCGGGUUGUAGACCGCUUUCGCUCAUGACGAUGCUUUGUGUGACGGUAGUGGGUAAAGAAGCACCGGCUAACUACGUG